UACGUAGGGUGCAAGCGUUAAUCGGAAUUACUGGGCGUAAAGCGUGCGCAGGCGGUGAUGUAAGACAGUUGUGAAAUCCCCGGGCUCAACCUGGGAACUGCAUCUGUGACUGCAUCGCUGGAGUGCGGCAGAGGGGGAUGGAACUCCGCGUGUAGCAGUGAAAUGCGUAGAGAUCGGGCAGAACACCCGUGGCGAAGGCGGCCAGCUGGGCCGGGCCUGACGCUGAGGCGCGAAGGCGUGGGGAGCGAACGGG
rnacentral:rRNA from 1 species